rnacentral:lncRNA from 1 species
AUUAUGAUUAACUGCCCCAUCUUUUCCUUAGAAAUGCGCCAUAACUUUGUUCCCAAGUAGGGUCUCGUAAGGUCUAUCGUGGGGGUUUAGGGCUUAAGAUUUGUCUUGUAUUCACCCGCUACCUUUUCUAACUUCGAUAGACUCUCGUAGAAAGAAAACUUCUGACAAUCGUAAAUUUUAAAUAAUUAAUUCUAAGGUUGAAACUCGAGAGGUUGUAGGUAAAGAGUAGGGCUCUAAUUCAUCUACCACAUGCUUUGUGUCCUUAUCAUAACUUGGCUUAUGAUCACGUUUUUUGAAGAGAAAACAAUGCUAGGGCAGAUUUUUUGUAACUUUAAAUUCCAUUUUAUUUCAGUAUAUAUAUUUAUAAAAAUUGCAAGAGGUGGGUGGGAGCAAGGUUGUGCGUGUGAAGAUGUUUGAGGUGGCUCUUACUGAAGUUUGAAAAGAUUCGUCGACAGAGAGGUGAAGGUGUUGGUAGUGUUUCUCAUGAAACCCAUCGUUCUUCAUCAGCAAGAAGGGAUAUUCUUGUCCAAGACACCGAAUGUUCGUCACCGAAGCUUCAUACCUGCUGGGGAACUC